AGUUGAACAUGAUGGACUAUAGGACAGGACUGCUGCUGUUAACUAUCUGCUGGGCAGGUGUUGAUGGUCAGACUCUGACACAAUCUGAACCAGUGGUUAAAAGGCCUGGAGAAUCUCACAGAUUGACCUGUACAGGCUCUGGAUUCACACUCAGUAGCCACCAUAUGAACUGGGUCAGACAGGCUCCUGGAAAAGGACUGGAGUGGGUUGCUUAUAUCAGUAGUAGCAGCAGCUACAUCUACGACUCUGAGUCAGUGAAAGGCCGGUUUACCAUCUCCAGAGACAACAGCAGACAGCAGGUGUAUCUGCAGAUGAACAGUCUGAAGACUGAAGACUCUGCUAUUUAUUAUUGUGCUCGAGCUGGGGGUUACUACGAUGCUUUUGACUAUUGGGGAAAGGGUACAACGGUAACUGUUUCGUCAGCCACCUCAACUGCACCAACUGUGUUUCCUCUGAUGCAAUGUGGUUCUGGUACUGGAGACAUGGUCACUGUUGGCUGUCUUGCCACCGGCUUCACACCCUCCUCACUGACCUUCUCAUGGAGCAAAAAUGGGGCAGCCUUGACAGACUUCAUUCAGUAUCCUGCAGUACAAAAAGGCAACGCUUAUACGGGAGUCAGUCAAAUUCGAGUGAGGAGACAGGACUGGGACGCAAAGCAGCCUCUGCAAUGUGCCGUGACACAUCCAGCAGGGAAUGCAGAAGUUGAAAUACUGCCACCAGCACCACCGACACCACCAACACCCGUGAUUGUUCAGUUGCCAACACUGAGAGUGUUGGGCUCCUCUGAUGAUGAAAACGAGGCUUCCUUCUCCUGCUUUGCCAAAGAUUUUUCACCUAAACAUUAUGACAUCAAAUGGCUGAAAAAUGAUGAGGACAUCUCCAACAAAUUAUACGAGAUCAAAACACCUUCUCAGGACAGAAAGGAUGAGACUGGAAGGACACUGUACAGUGCUGCAAGUUUUCUCAGAGUGCCGUCCAGUGAUUGGAGACAGGAUGGCACGACUUUUACAUGUCAGUUUCAGGGGAAAGAUGAAAAAAACAUGGCAACUUUCAAGAAUUCAUCUGUGACCUACAAACAUCAUGAUACAACAACUGUUGGCUGUGCUGAAGCAGAUGUGGACAUAAAGAUCAUUGGUCCGACACUGGACGACAUGUUUUUAAACAGGAAAGGAAAGAUAGUAUGUCGAGUCCAGGUAAACAAGCCAUCUCUUGGGAAGAUUUUGUGGGAAGACGAACAUGGAAACGAGAUGGUUGGUUCCUCAACGACGCCUGUUAAAGAAAAUUCAAACACAUAUAAACUUUCACUUGACAUCUCGUAUGAUGAAUGGAGCCAGGGGAUAAAGCGCGUCUGCAUUGUUGAACAUACAGACUGGAUUGAGCCAUUUAAGAAACUCUAUGAAAGGAAUAUUGGAGGACAGACUCAGCGUCCUUCAGUAUUUAUGCUGCCUCCAGUAGAACAUACUAGAAAAGACAUGGUGACCCUGACUUGCUAUGUGAAAGACUUCUUCCCUCAGGAGGUUUUUGUGUCUUGGCUUGUUGAUGACGAGGAAGUAGACUCAAGCUAUGAGUUCCACACCACAAACCCUUUAGCAAACCAUGGAUCCUAUUCUGCUUAUGGCCAGUUGUUGCUCAGCCUUGAGCAGUGGCGAAAGAAUGAUGUGGCGUACAGCUGUGCAGUUCACCACGAGUCUAUGGCUAACACGACUAAAGCUAUUAUCAGGUCCAUCGAGCACAGAACAUUUGAAAAAACCAACCUGGUCAACCUCAACAUGAACAUCCCUGAAGCGUGCAAGGCCCAGUAGAUGUUAUUUUGUGUCGCUGUGUCUUCUGCUCUUUGUUGUUGAAUGUUUGUUGCUUGUGAUGUGACAUCGUGUUCGUCUUUUUAAUGCAGAUUCAAAAUCAAAAUAAAAAAAAAGCACUUUGCAACUCUG